rnacentral:rRNA from 1 species
AACGAACGCUGGCGGCAUGCCUAACACAUGCAAGUCGAACGAGACCUUCGGGUCUAGUGGCGCACGGGUGCGUAACGCGUGGGAAUCUGCCCUUGGGUUCGGAAUAACUCGCCGAAAGGCGUGCUAAUACCGGAUGAUGACGUAAGUCCAAAGAUUUAUCGCCCAAGGAUGAGCCCGCGUUGGAUUAGCUAGUUGGUGAGGUAAAGGCUCACCAAGGCGACGAUCCAUAGCUGGUCUGAGAGGAUGAUCAGCCACACUGGGACUGAGACACGGCCCAGACUCCUACGGGAGGCAGCAGUGGGGAAUAUUGGACAAUGGGCGAAAGUCUGAUCCAGCAAUGCCGCGUGAGUGAUGAAGGCCUUAGGGUUGUAAAGCUCUUUUACCCGGGAUGAUAAUGACCGUACCGGGAGAAUAAGCUCCGGCUAACUCCGUG